GGCGGGGUAGCUCAGCUGGUUAGUAGCGCGGCACUCAUAACGCCGAGGUCGAGAGUUCGAGUCUCUCUCCCGCCA
rnacentral:tRNA from 1 species